rnacentral:rRNA from 1 species
UACGAAGGGGGCUAGCGUUGCUCGGAAUUACUGGGGCGUAAAGCGCACGUAGGCGGCUUUCUAAGUCGGGGGUGAGAUCCUGGAGCUCAACUCCAGAACUGCCUUCGAUACUGGAGAGCUUGAGUCCGGGAGAGGUGAGUGGAACUGCGAGUGUAGAGGUGAAAUUCGUAGAUAUUCGCAAGAACACCAGUGGCGAAGGCGGCUCACUGGCCCGGUACUGACGCUGAGGUGCGAAAGCGUGGGGAGCAAACAGG